GAUGAACGCUGGCGGCGUGCCUAAUACAUGCAAGUCGAGCGAACAGACGAGGAGCUUUCUCCUCUGACGUUAUCGGCGGACGGGUGAGUAACACGUGGAUGACCUACCUAUACGACUGGGAUAACUUCGGGAAACCGGAGCUAAUACCGGAUGAUAUAUUGAACCUCAUUGUGCAAUAGUGAGAGUCGGUUUUGCUGUCACUUAUAGAUUGAUCAGCGCCGCAUUAGCUAGUGGGUUAGGUAACGGAUUACCAAGGCAACGAUGGGUAACCGACCUGAGAGGGUGGACCCCCACACGGGAACUGAGACACGGCACACACACCUAGGGUAGGACGCAGUAGGGACUCUUACGCGAGGCAGGAGUGCCUGAUAGUGCAAAGCGGCGUGAGUGAUGAAGGUGUUCGGAUCGGAAAACUAUGUAAUCAGUGAAGAACAAAAGUGUAAUUAACUAUGAACAUAUUGACAGUACCUAAUCAGAAAGCCACGGCUAACUACGUG
rnacentral:rRNA from 1 species